CGCGUAGGCGGGUUUGUAAGUCAGAUGUGAAAUUCCGGGGCUCAACCUCGGAGCUGCAUUUGAAACUACAGAUCUUGAGGGUUGACGGAGAAAACGGAAUUCCACGUGUAGCGGUGAAAUGCGUAGAUAUGUGGAAGAACACCAGUGGCGAAAGCGGUUUUCUAGUUAACACCUGACGCUGAGGCGCGAGAGAAGGGGAGCGAAACA
rnacentral:rRNA from 1 species